CAGAGAAUGCUGUACUAGGACUCUCCAACCCUAUGUUAUAUACCCUUGUUGCCUUCGGCGAGCAGCUCCGGCCACCGGUAACGGGUGACGUGCCUCGCCAGAGGACCCCUAAACUCUGUUUCUAUAUGUACGUCUGAGUACCUAUAUAAUAGUA
rnacentral:misc_RNA from 1 species